CUAAAGGCAAGCAAGUUGGGGAGUGUCAGGGAGUGCCUGGCAGGAUUUGGGGAGCUGGUUGACAGUGUUCUUUCAUUCUGGACCUGAACAUCCCCAGAAUUCAGGGACACUUGGAUCAAAGUUUGACCUUUGGCCUGCCAUAGAAAGGAAGUAAUCUGUGCAGUCUAGAUACACUGUAAACUUCACAGGGGUGGAGUUGGGAAUUUUACCCAGAGUGGGACAAGCAGACCGGUUUAAGCCUAAUUGGCUACCAAGGAAACAGCAUAUCAGAGGAGGAAAAAAGAACUCCACCCCAUUUACCAGCUCCCUGGGAAUGUAGCAUUUGCUUCAGAAUAGAGAAGCCAUGUGUGCUGCGGCUCCUGCUGCAAACAGCAUCAGUCAAAAAGUAUCUCCAGAAUGUUCAAGUGGGGAAGAAUGAAGCAUCUCAGGCUUCCCAUAAAGAACCCAGCUGGUUCUGGGAGGCAGGAAGGGAAACAUGACUGAAGUGCUUCUUCUUACAUGAUGCCAGACCACUGAGCCCCAACCCUGUGCCCCUCUCCGCCCCUCCCCCCGCCCCCAGCCAAGCCCCACAAGAGUCCGUGCAGCCUGCAGGGUCUGGCCUAUUUCAAUUAAAAGCACAAUUAUACAUAGAUUUAAGGAAUCUUUGAGCAUGGAGCUUCACAUAAAAAUAUGGAAUGCAGGGGCCAUGAAGGUCUUGUUUCCUAUGUCUGCCCCCUUCACAAAGCUUAGUUUUCUAACUUCUCCUUCACCUCCACUGUGCUGAAAGCUUAUGGUCAAAUCCUGCACUCCCUGCUGAAGUCACCAGGCUCUGUUCUGAAGUAAGUGUGCAGAAUGGGACUAUCUACUUUUUCCCCACUUCUUGUUUAUUUCUGCCUGGGUUCCACACUUUCUUCCCAACCCAGCCCACCCUUAUGGUAAAAAAAACAGGGAGGGAAAUGCCCUUCCUUAAUUAUAAUAUGUUUAUGCCAAAGAACCAAAAUAGUGUACUACAAUGUGCAGUCACAAUUAAGAUUGUCCCCACCCCAGGGAUCACAACCAUUCACUCUAUUCCUCUACUUUCUGGUCCAAACUCUGUAAUUAACAUUACCCAUGAAGACUGCAAAAAUACAAGAACGGAGUUCUCCAUGUAUGGUAACAAGGGGAGCACCCAAUCAAUCUACAGCAAGGGAUUUAGGGGAGGGGCAGGAAAAGAGUGGGGAAAUAUCAAUUUUCCUUGAUUACAUGUUAGGGUGCUACAUCUUUACUCCUGUUCCUACUGUCCUUAGUAGAUAGGAAAAUCCAGCCUGUGAUUUCCCAGAGAUUUAUAUACAUGAAUAGUAGUUUCUAGCAAGGAGGUACUCCUGUUUCACACUUGUGGUAACACUUGGCUGUGAUCCACCUUAAUGAACGGAGUUCUUAAGAGAAAGACUAUUGAUCUCCCACAUUCUCCCACCAUUGCUGCUACUAAAGAAGGUGAACAGAAUUCACCUGCAAAGCUGAGAGCCCCGUAGAGGAAGUCUGAAUGGAUUCAGGCAAAAGUGGAGGGGAAAAAGGAGAUUGCUUUUAAUAGCACAUGGGGUUCAUGAGGAAACUGGUUACUACAUCACAAAAGGGGAUCAAUCCAUCAAGAAAAAUUAGCAAUCCCUUGUUUAUGGAAACAAAGAAAUUCUCUAGAAAUGUUACAAAUUUGCUGUAUUUUUGCCUGAAGAUCUUAUAAAAAGUAUCUAAUAUCUAGUUAGCUAAUUGAAAGAUGUUUUAACUAACAGCCUUCCUACUUACUGCAUAGCUAAGGAUGUUUGCAUGCAAUAUUUAUUCCAUCAAGUGUAUGAAAUAAGUUACACCCAGGACAUUUUUUCCUCCAAUGUCCAUUUCAGACAGUUGGUCUGAGUAACAAGCACGUAGGUCUACGGCCUCCACAGUUUUGGUCAUUCCACCUCCCACUUAGAUUAUUUAGCAAUACAAAAAGAGAAGACACACAUAGCUGUCCACCCUUUUUGAUGACUGUACAAUCCUGAAGGAGCAACAACUUGAUGCAUAGGCUAAAGUUAACCACCCACACACAUUGGUUAAUGCAAUUUUUGAUGAUUCACAUGUACAGAUCUAAAGGCAGAAUCAAGCCCUUUGGUCAUUAUUUUGGAAUGGAACAUCAGCUCACAUUUUUUACAAAUGACAGUUAAGGCAAAAUCCUAGAUUGAAGUCUGUAGCUUAUCUAAAAAGAAUUUUAGCUACACCCCUUAAAAUAAAGCAAAAUCUAUUAAAAGAAAUAUAGAAAAUUGUAUAAUCAUAAUUCUAGAGCAGUGAUUCUCAACCAGUCAGUGUGCCAUGAGAUCCUUUUAAGGAGUGACACACAAUAUUAGCACCAGUAGGUGUGCAAACACCUCCACAAGUAGCUGGAUAAACCCAUUGAUUUCAAGUAGGAAUCCAUAGUCUAAAAGCAUUUGACAUGUUAUGGAUUUUCUAAUUCUUUGCAACAAAAACAUUCUGUAUUAUUUUUCUGUAGUCAAGAAAUGAGUAAAAGCUAAGAGCUGGCAUUUUCCAAGGGAUGCCUCAAGUC